rnacentral:lncRNA from 1 species
GCGCCCCCACCCCCUCCCAGGGUCCACGCAAACCCAAGGGGAAAGUGUAAGUCCUUCAUGCAAUUCAUGUAUCGAGUGCCUGCUGUGUACCCGGCCGUGCCCCACGCUCUGGGGACACAGUAACGACCGAGGCCGACACCACGUGCUGCCCCGUGAGGUCACCGCCGUGGGAGGACUCAGGCCAACUGAAUGUGCCCCGGGCUUCCAGGAAUCCGGGUACCGACCCCGCCUCCCCCGACGUCCCUCUCCUGCCCCCCUGAGGCCGGCCCUCAGUGUGGCCCACGCUGUGUGACCCCAGCCACAGCCCUUUCCCUCUCUGAGCCCCGCAUCCUCGCCUGGAACAUCCGAGCCUCCGCCCGGCUGUGCCCGGGCCCGUCGAGGAAACGGGCAGAGCUGGUGGGCAGGGCGCUCCCCAGCCUCUGGGGACCGGCCCGGGGACGCCGGGCAGCGUGCGGUGACCUCCCAGCCGCCGUCUCCCCUCCCGCGGCCGCGGCCCGAGUCUGGCCCGCACUUUCCCUCUCCCUCUGCCGCCUGGGCCCGAGCCAAGCUGCCGGAGUCACUUUCAAAGAACUUUCUCUCCCCUUCCACCGCCCCCGCGCCCCGCGGCCUGGCGGCCGGCCCUCCGACGCUCGGGGACACCUCGGGCCGGGGGUGGCGGCGCUGGCCGUACCCUGUCCCCGUCGUCCCCGUCGUCCAGCCCGGCCUCGGCCUCGGGGCCCCACGGGGUGGAGGGUCCGGCCGUCAACCCUGGAGGCCCCCAACCCCGGGGACCCGGCCCAGCCGGGGCGGCCACGUCACCUUGUGACAUCACCACCGGGCGGCCAUCUUCUCGACUCUCCCUCCCCCGGCUUCCAGAUGCUUCUCUGGCCGGGCGGCCAUUUUGUGCGCGCAGGAGGACGGGCUGGCACGGGUCCCCUCCCGGGUGGGGCGCACAUGGGGGACCCCGGCCGUGUCCCCUCCCCUCCCCGGGGUGGGGGGGGUGGUCCGAGCAGGGUGGCGGCCGUGCCAGGCGGCCCGGGUCCCUCUGGGCGCUCGGCUGCCCGGGGAUGCGAGCGCCGGGGUUAAAAAUACCGCGCGCCCCUCCUGGUCCCUCCAAUGUCACACGUGUCAGCGCCACCAGGCCCGACCCAAAAUAAC